UGGCGCAGUAGUUAGAGCACUUGGCUGCUAAUUAAAAGGUUGGUGGUUCAAACCCACC
rnacentral:tRNA from 1 species